ACUUAAAUUGAAGAGUUUGAUCAUGGCUCAGAUUGAACGCUGGCGGCAGGCCUAACACAUGCAAGUCGAGCGGUAGCACAGAGAGCUUGCUCUCGGGUGACGAGCGGCGGACGGGUGAGUAAUGUCUGGGAAACUGCCUGAUGGAGGGGGAUAACUACUGGAAACGGUAGCUAAUACCGCAUAACGUCGCAAGACCAAAGUGGGGGACCUUCGGGCCUCAUGCCAUCAGAUGUGCCCAGAUGGGAUUAGCUAGUAGGUGGGGUAACGGCUCACCUAGGCGACGAUCCCUAGCUGGUCUGAGAGGAUGACNNNNNNNNNNNNNNNNNNNNGGGAGUACGGCCGCAAGGUUAAAACUCAAAUGAAUUGACGGGGGCCCGCACAAGCGGUGGAGCAUGUGGUUUAAUUCGAUGCAACGCGAAGAACCUUACCUGGUCUUGACAUCCACAGAACUUAGCAGAGAUGCUUUGGUGCCUUCGGGAACUGUGAGACAGGUGCUGCAUGGCUGUCGUCAGCUCGUGUUGUGAAAUGUUGGGUUAAGUCCCGCAACGAGCGCAACCCUUAUCCUUUGUUGCCAGCGGUUAGGCCGGGAACUCAAAGGAGACUGCCAGUGAUAAACUGGAGGAAGGUGGGGAUGACGUCAAGUCAUCAUGGCCCUUACGACCAGGGCUACACACGUGCUACAAUGGCAUAUACAAAGAGAAGCGACCUCGCGAGAGCAAGCGGACCUCAUAAAGUAUGUCGUAGUCCGGAUUGGAGUCUGCAACUCGACUCCAUGAAGUCGGAAUCGCUAGUAAUCGUAGAUCAGAAUGCUACGGUGAAUACGUUCCCGGGCCUUGUACACACCGCCCGUCACACCAUGGGAGUGGGUUGCAAAAGAAGUAGGUAGCUUAACCUUCGGGAGGGCGCUUACCACUUUGUGAUUCAUGACUGGGGUGAAGUCGUAACAAGGUAACCGUAGGGGAACCUGCGGUUGGAUCACCUCCUUACCUUAAAGAACCUGCCUUUGUAGUGUCCACACAGAUUGUUUGAUAAAUAAUAAAUUUCAAAAUGUACUGCGAAGUGCAUUGUGAAAUUUUGCUCUUUAAAAAUCUGGAUCAAGCUGAAAAUUGAAACGACACACAGUUAAUGUGUGUUCGAGUCUGCAACUCGACUCCAUGAAGUCGGAAUCGCUAGUAAUCGUAGAUCAGAAUGCUACGGUGAAUACGUUCCCGGGCCUUGUACACACCGCCCGUCACACCAUGGGAGUGGGUUGCAAAAGAAGUAGGUAGCUUAACCUUCGGGAGGGCGCUUACCACUUUGUGAUUCAUGACUGGGGUGAAGUCGUAACAAGGUAACCGUAGGGGAACCUGCGGUUGGAUCACCUCCUUACCUUAAAGAA
rnacentral:rRNA from 1 species